UGUACAAUACACCGCAUAAGCGGAUAUACCAUAUGUACAUAUGAAUUUAACUCAUUCAAGUUUGACUUCCACCUGUGAAGAGAAUUUCCAAACAGUUUGGGACAAUGCUGCCAUUUUUAGGCCGGAAAUAAAUCUGUAUCCGUUAAAAAAGCAUAUGCUUGCUACAAUCACAUUAAAUAGACCAGUUGCUGACAUAAAGCCGCAUCGAAUUUCUUAUUUUGUUUAUCCACAGACAAUUGAAAUGGUUUCGUAACAUACCCAAUUUUAAUAUUUGAACUUCACAGACAGUUGGAACGAUUAUUUUCUCAGAAGCCAUAUUUCAUAUAAUUUACAAUAAUAAUAAUAAAAAGUCAUCUGCAAAAGCAUUUGAUAUACAUAUAUA